CUUCUACAGAACUGUCCCAAAGGGGAUCCUACUGACAGUUAUUCAGGAUGCUAACCCAGAAAGCAUCCCAGCCUGAAGGUGUGCAAUGCAGGCACGGAGACAUUAGCUAAGUAUUUUCCGGAUCACUCGUCCAGUACAUUUGUAUUCAGAUCUGACUUGAGAGUCUGCACCCUUCUGCAUUCCUGAUAUUUCUGCUUCUCCCAGAGAGGAACCCCGGUGAUUGCAUCCAGCCCAUCUGGCUUUUCCAAGAUCCUUAAUCACAGGAAGUCACUUUGCAAUAUAAGGUAACAUAUUCUGAAUGGUAACAUCUCCCGAAAAUUAGAGUGUGGAUAUAAUUGGUGGUCAGGGUCAUAAUUUUACCUAGUACAGC
rnacentral:lncRNA from 1 species